CCCACCGGAUAUAGAGUUCACC
rnacentral:miRNA from 1 species